rnacentral:rRNA from 1 species
UACGUAGGAGGCGAGCGUUGUCCGGAGUUACUGGGCGUAAAGGGCUCGUAGGCGGUCCAUCGCGUCGGGAGUGAAAAGCUGGGGCUUAACCCCAGUCCUGCUUCCGAUACGGACAGACUAGAGGUAGGUAGGGGAGAAUGGAAUUCCCGGUGUAGCGGUGAAAUGCGCAGAUAUCGGGAGGAACACCGGUGGCGAAGGCGGUUCUCUGGGCCUUACC